UACGAAGGGGGUUAGCGUUGCUCGGAAUCACUGGGCGUAAAGCGCACGUAGGCGGAUUGUUAAGUCAGGGGUGAAAUCCUGGAGCUCAACUCCAGAACUGCCUUUGAUACUGGCGAUCUCGAGUCCGGGAGAGGUGAGUGGAACUGCGAGUGUAGAGGUGAAAUUCGUAGAUAUUCGCAAGAACACCAGUGGCGAAGGCGGCUCACUGGCCCGGUACUGACGCUGAGACGCGAAAGCGUGGGGAGCAAACAGG
rnacentral:rRNA from 1 species